rnacentral:tRNA from 1 species
GGGGAGCUGGCGUAAUUGGCAAACGCAAAGGGCUGUAGACUCUUCGUCAACAACACAAGAGCUCAGAUGGGACGAGGCAACCCCGAGUCCACGUGAUUUGGUCUCAAAAGACUUCCAGGUUCGAUUCCUGGGCUCCCCA